GAUGAACGCUGGCGGCGUGCCUAAUACAUGCCAGUCGAGCGAACAGACGAGGAGCUUGCUCCUCUGACGUUAGCGGCGGACGGGUGAGUAACACGUGGAUAACCUACCUAUAAGACUGGGAUAACUUCGGGAAACCGGAGCUAAUACCGGAUAAUAUAUUGAACCGCAUGGUUCAAUAGUGAAAGACGGUUUUGCUGUCACUUAUAGAUGGAUCCGCGCCGCAUUAGCUAGUUGGUAAGGUAACGGCUUACCAAGGCAACGAUGCGUAGCCGACCUGAGAGGGUGAUCGGCCACACUGGAACUGAGACACGGUCCAGACUCCUACGGGAGGCAGCAGUAGGGAAUCUUCCGCAAUGGGCGAAAGCCUGACGGAGCAACGCCGCGUGAGUGAUGAAGGUCUUCGGAUCGUAAAACUCUGUUAUUAGGGAAGAACAAAUGUGUAAGUAGCUAUGCACGUCUUGACGGUACCUAAUCAGAAAGCCACGGCUAACUGCGUG
rnacentral:rRNA from 1 species